rnacentral:misc_RNA from 1 species
UCCGGCUUAUCACCGGCAGUCCCACUAGAGUGCCCAACUGAAUGAUGGCAACUAAUGGCGAGGGUUGCGCUCGUUGCGGGACUUAACCCAACAUCGCACGACACGAGCUGACGACAGCCAUGCAGCACCUGUGUUCCGAUUCCCUUUCAGGCACACCCACCUUUCAGCAGGCUCUCGGACAUGUCAAGGGUAGGUAAGGUUGUUCGCGUUGCAUCGAAUUAAACCACAUGCUCCGCUGCUUGUGCGGGUCCCCGUCAAUUCCUUUGAGUUUUAGCCUUGCGGCCGUACUCCCCAGGCGGGGCACUUAAUGCGUUAGCGUCGGCACGGGAGGAGUCGACACCUCCCACACCUAGUGCCCAUCGUUUACGGCGUGGACUAC